rnacentral:hammerhead_ribozyme from 1 species
GUACUCCUGAGGAGUCCCAUAAUAGGACGAAACGGCCGUCCAGUGU